AACUACAAUCUCACAAUUGAGAGAAAUAAGGGUUUUGACCUCUUCAUAAGAGUAAGAUACGACCCUUUUUCCUAAGAGGUGCCUUUUAAGGGCAAAACCGUGUAGACCGAGCCCAAAGCGAACAAUACCUCUUCGCAAGCUUUCCGUGGCGCAGAUCUUGAGUCGAAUUUGCAUCAUGAUCCGCGCCAUGGAGAGGCUCGCCAAGAGGUAUUGUCCACUUUGGCCCUGACCCACACGGUUUUGCCCUAAUCAAGACCCGCGCCAUGGACAGGCUUGCAAAAAGCGGACAAGACCCUUCUCUAUCUCCAAUGUGGGAUUGAAGUUCUUCAUCAUAUCCCCCAAGAGAUGGGGGGAUUAGGAAAUUGAGCAGCAUGGCUACGUUCCCACAAACAGCUUCAAUGGUGAGGAUAUGGUCCAAGAUCUGAGCCACGAAGAGGCUCACCAAGAUGCAUUUUCUCUAGCCCGCAUGAUUUUGCCUUUAAAAGGCGUCUCUCGGGAGUAAAGGGUUGUAUCCUACUAUUAUGAAGAGGCCAAGACCCUUGUCUUUCUUUAAUGUGAGAUUGGGGUUCCUCAUGAGUUCCCUAUGAAACUAAGAAAAAUUAUUAAGUAUCUAAAUAUUAUGUUUGGGUUGAUCUUUUCUCUAUAAAACAUUUUAUAUUUUGUCCC